rnacentral:rRNA from 2 species
UUAUCGGAAUUUCUGGGCGUAAAGCGUGCGCAGGCGGUUAUGAUAAGUCAGAUGUGAAAUCCCCGGGCUUAACCUGGGAACUGCAUUUGUGACUGCAUAGCUAGAUGUACGGUAGAGGGGGAUGGAAUUCCACGUGUAGCAGUGAAAUGCGUAGUAUCGGGAGGAACACCGAUGGCGAAGGCAAUCCCCUGGGCAUGUACUGACGCUCAUGCACGAAAGGCC